rnacentral:ncRNA from 2 species
CGGCCAUCCGAGGGGCGCGUCUGGUAAGCGCUGAGAUGGAGCUGAAGUCAGCGAGGAAAAGUGGGAACCGUUUUCCGCCCGCGCUGACCGUUCAAAAGAACACCGCUCCAGCACCCUUUGAACCUGAUCCGGUUUGCGCCGGCGUAGGGACGGAAUGGCAUAGUGGG